rnacentral:rRNA from 1 species
CACGGAGGGUGCAAGCGUUAGUCGGAAUUACUGGGCGUAAAGCGUGCGUAGGCGGCCUGUUAAGUCAGAUGUGAAAGCCCAGGGCUUAACCUGGGAACGGCAUUUGAAACUGGCAAGCUAGAGUUAGGUAGAGGGGAGUGGAAUUUCAGGUGUAGCGGUGAAAUGCGUAGAUAUCUGAAGGAGCACCAGUGGCGAAGGCGACUCCCUGGACCCAAACUGACGCUGAGGUACGAAAGCGUGGGUAGCAAACAGG